ensembl:snRNA U6 U6 spliceosomal RNA
CAGAUACACUAUAGCAGAUAUGCUAAAAUUUGAGUGUUAGAGAGAUUAGUAUGGCCACUGUGCCAGGAUGACACACAAAUUCAUGAAGUAGUCCUAUUUUAA